rnacentral:rRNA from 1 species
GUUCGUAGUGACCUGCGGAGGAUCAUUACCGAAUUAGGGUGCCGGGCGGAAACGUACCGCCAAAUAUCUUACCGUUAUGCCUUUUUGAACAAACCUCUUGCUUUGGUUUGCCCGGGAGAAUUGUUGGGCCAGAGGUUUAACAAAACACAAUUUAGUUAUAUUUACAGUCAGUCAAAUUUUGAAUUAAUCUUCAGAACUUUCGACAACGGAUCACUGGGUUCUCGCGUCGAUUAUGAAGUCAAUGAAAUGCCAUAAUUAAUAUGAAUUGCAGAUUAGCGGGAAACAACGAAUCUUUGAACGAGUAUGGAGCCCUCUGGUACCCUAUAUGGAAUGCCUGAUUGAGCGUGAUUUCGCUCUCUAACCCCCAGGCCUGCUAGUGAGUGAAACGCAGACUCGGACUAGGCUUUUGCUCGAAAAGAAUUGGCAUGGUUAGUACUGCAUAGGGCUGUGAGACCUCUCAAUGUAUUAUGUUUAGCCACACUCGUUGAAGGGUGUGGCGGGAUAUUUCUGGUAAUGUUGCUCAGGCCUUACAACAACCAAAGGAAUUUGACCUCGAAUCACGUAGGAAUACCCGCAUGAACAUAAACAUAUCAAUAAGCGGAGGAAUUUUGANUGUUCGAUCUUACAUCCUGGAGGACUACCCGCUGAAAUUAAACAUAUCUUUAAGCGGAGGAACCCCCUUUUUUUUUCACA